CAGUUUCAAUUUGUUGGGGAGAAAUAUAGUGAACAUGAGGAUCAACGCCACCGGCUGUAACAAUAAGCCCUUCCCCUGCAACAACUUCUGUUCCUGCACCAAUAACCAGGUCUUGAUUAACCCCAUCCAUCAUAUGGGGAUUUCCAGCUUUACCAACGCUUACAAUCUUUCCAUCUUUAAUACCAAUGUCCCCUUUGACAAUACCCCAGUAAUCCAUAAUCACAGCAUUGGUAAUCACCAUAUCCAGCACGCCUUCCUUUGCUGAUGCACAGGGGGAUUGCCCCAUACCAUCUCGAAUGG
rnacentral:sRNA from 1 species